AAAGGCAUACAACUUGGCUGUUCCAUGGGCCUCUUUACAAGUGAUGUUGUUUCUGUACCUAGGAAAAAUAUUCUGUGGAGGGAAGUUAUCCGGCACACCAUCACCAUAGAAGCGUGGUGGAAAUAUUUAUUUUGCCCUAUGCGGAAGAGUCACGUUGAUGAUGCAGACAGUGUGAAAAACGUCCCUGAAAGCCUUGGGUGUGUGUAUGUGAAAAUGCUUUCUUUUUUUUAAACAGGGGACUGCGAUGCAAAGUCUACAACAGGCAGCUGUCUGCAAAUGCCCCUUUUCUGCUUUUUCCCAACAGCAAUAAGCAACGAUGGGAAAACACACGAGAGGUAUCUGAAUGUGCCUCUGAAACGCUUUCUCCAAACAGCUCAUCGAUUCAAAGUGCCAGAUAUUGCCUUUUCAAGUGCUUUCUGGAACACAACAGAAAAUGAUCUCCGCAGAACCACCUGAUGAAAAUUGGCCACAAUUUUGUUCACUGUCCGCUAAGAGAGCUUGAGGCUGAAAAUGACUCCGUGAAUGGUGAUUUCCUGGAUAUGGCAGUUAUUAAAGCAUUGUUUGUGGCUGGGGAGGCGGAGAAGCCAUUUUUAAUGGAAGAAUCCAGCUGAUUGCAGAAAACAUCUUUCCUUGUGCAAAAUGAAAUAUACCUAGUUGGGUAACAAGUGCAGGACGGAGGUGUUAAGGAAAAUUGGCAAGGCUUCCCCUGGAAUACAAAAUGUUGCAGAGAGAUUUUGUCUGCAAUCAGCAUUUGGCUUAUUUGAUCCACAAACAACAGUAGUUUUAAACCAUGAUGGCAGGAAGUGCUUUUUGCACUUCCUGUUUCCCAAGUACAUGAGUCUUGCCCAUGGGAGCGACAUCUGAAAAGCAUAAGUUUUUGUGGAUUAGUAUGCAAAUAACUUCUUACAAAUGGUGCUAAAUCUGUAAACUAAUCUCCCAGGAUCCAUAAAGGCAUUGGGUUGUCUCCAACUAUCUACUCAGUGUAGGACCAUUGAAUUGAGUAGACCUACAGUAGCUGUGAUUUCAAUGGACCUACUCUGAGCAGGACUAGGGAUGACUGGGUCUGUUAAUUUCUGUUUCUCUUUCUUGGAGCCUUUGCUUCUCCAGAUUUCUGCAUCAGUUUGCAAUUUAUUUAUUUUUUUUAAAAAGUCUGCAGGAAAAUUCACCAGCAUCUUAGUGCAAAUUCCUCCCUAACAUACAUGUUUUUGUAUGCAAUUUUGCCUGAUAAACACAUUUUAUAACUUAUUUUCACUAACAUAUGCGGUGCUGUGCACGCAUUUUCCUAAUAUAUAUAUUAUUUGAUUGGAGAACUGCGUUGUGAAAUUCAGAGAACUGUGAAUUUUGAAGGACAGCUGCAUUUCAGUUUGCAUAUUGUUUCUGAAAGCGCGGAUCAGAGAGAAUCUCCGUAAAAUUUGAACGGAACCGAAUUUCUCCUCCGUCCCUAAUUAUGACUACCUUUGGAUACAAGCCAUGAGAUAUGAGUUUGAUGGUCUUCUGCAAUGACUUCACAUGAAAACAACUCAGAACCUACUCACCCUCAAAAAAGACGUUUGCACAUGAAAGAAAGCAUAAAACUGAUACAGAGAAUAAUUCUAUUCUCUUUUAACUAGAGAGUCUAUAUUGUGCUAAUAGAAGAAUAAUUCUUUUUUUGAAGAAGCCCAGCAGACCUGGGGUUUUUUGACAUGUAUUGACACUUAUGGAAGUCAGUGCUGGUCUUUGAAUUCAGCUGCAGGCUGGACUUCCCAGCUCGAAUGAAAACCAUUUGCGGUCUCCGAGCUCCAGAAGGAUCUGCCCUAGACUUCUGUCUUGCAAAAGACUCUGGUGAGUUGCUGAGAGAGAGUGUGUUGUUUGAUGCCAGAGAACUGUAGUAGCCAAACAAGGAAGGCAUCCAGUUUCUCAGGUGUGUUAGCUGCACAAAAGUCAAGCCUCUGAUCUCCCUGCUUGGAUAAUUCUCUGAAAACCAGCGAGAAGCCUUUGGCAAUUCUUCAGCGCCCUCUCUCGUUUUCUCUUAACAGGGAAGAGGCCGAGGAAGAUGAGGGUUAAAGAAGGUAGCGGUCGCCUCAGGUGAGUGACACAGCCCUUUGUGUUGUGGGUUGACCGUUUAUGUUUUGAGCAGAUUGUCAAACACAGCGGCAUGGAAGCUGCAGCCCUCGAGACGUUGCGCUCCAACUCCCAGAGCAUCUGCUUAUCGGGGAGAUGUCCCCUAGGUUCAAUCCCCAAUGAUAGGGCUGGGGGAAAAGACUCCCUGCAGGAAACCCCCUACCAGUCCGUGCAGACAAUACUGAGCGGAAUGGACCAACAGUCUGGGUAUAAGGCAGCCUCCUACACUUUUAGCUCCCAGCAGGGCCAGUGGUCUGGGGAGCGAUGGGAGUUGGAAUCCAAAAGCAUCUUGAGGGCCACAGCUUCUUCACCGCUUAUCUAGCAGGACGGCUGAAAUACUUCAGAGCAAAACUGAAAACUAACCACCCUCUGCCCACCCCCACCCCCAGUCUCCCUCACAUACACCGAGGACAGACAACAGCUAGAGAUGUCACCGUGUAUCUCUUAAUUCGGAGAUUCAACAAAACACUUUGCAUCAGUUACAUAUUAC